GCCUGGGUGGCUCAGUAGGUUAAGCAUCCGACUUCAGCUCAGGUCAUGAUCUCACAGUUUGUGGGUUCAAGCCUCACAUCAGGCU
rnacentral:tRNA from 1 species